UACGUAGGGUGCGAGCGUUAAUCGGAAUUACUGGGCGUAAAGCGUGCGCAGGCGGUUCUGCAAGUCAGAUGUGAAAUCCCCGGGCUUAACCUGGGAACUGCGUUUGAAACUACGGAGCUAGAGUGCGGCAGGAGGGGGGUGGAAUUCCGACGUGUAGCAGUGAAAUGCGUAGAUAUGUGGAGGAACACCGAUGGCGAAGGCAGCCCCCCUGGGCUGAGAUUGACGCUCAGGCACGAAAGCGUGGGGAGCAAACAGG
rnacentral:rRNA from 1 species